AUCACUGUGGCCUAGUGGUUAGAGCGUCCACCUCGGAUGCAAGAGGUCGCGUGUUCAAACCCCGGUCGAGUCAUA